CGGCGAGUGAAGCGGCAAGAGCUCAAAUUUGAAAGCUGGCCCCCUCGGGGUCCGCAUUGUAAUUUGCAGAGGAUGCUUCGGGAGUGGCCCCCAUCUAAGUGCUCUGGAACGGGCCGUCAUAGAGGGUGAGAAUCCCGUAUGGGAUGGGGUGUCCGCGACCAUGUGAAGCUCCUUCGACGAGUCGAGUUGUUUGGGAAUGCAGCUCUAAAUGGGUGGUAAAUUUCAUCUAAAGCUAAAUAUUGGCCGGAGACCGAUAGCGCACAAGUAGAGUGAUCGAAAGAUGAAAAGCACUUUGAAAAGAGAGUUAAAAAGCACGUGAAAUUGUUGAAAGGGAAGCGCUUGCGACCAGACUCGCCUACGGGGUUCAGCCGGUAUUCGUACCGGUGUACUUCCCCGUGGGCGGGCCAGCGUCGGUUUGGGCGGCCGGUCAAAGGCCCUCGGAAUGUAACGCCUCUCGGGGCGUCUUAUAGCCGAGGGUGCCAUGCGGCCAGCCCGGACCGAGGAACGCGCUUCGGCACGGACGCUGGCAUAAUGGUCGUAAGCGACCCGUCUUGAAACACGGACCAAGGAGUCUAACAUCUACGCGAGUGUUCGGGUGUCAAACCCGUGCGCGCAGUGAAAGCGAACGGAGGUGGGAACCCUCACGGGUGCACCAUCGACCGAUCCUGAAGUCUUCGGAUGGAUUUGAGUAAGAGCGUAGCUGUUGGGACCCGAAAGAUGGUGAACUAUGCCUGAAUAGGGCGAAGCCAGAGGAAACUCUGGUGGAGGCUCGCAGCGGUUCUGACGUGCAAAUCGAUCGUCAAAUUUGGGUAUAGGGGCGAAAGACUAAUCGAACC
rnacentral:rRNA from 1 species